rnacentral:rRNA from 1 species
ACUAAAUAGAUACCCGGGUAGUCCCAGCCGUAAACGAUGCUCGCUAGGUGUCAGGCAUGGCGCGACCGUGUCUGGUGCCGCAGGGAAGCCGUGAAGCGAGCCACCUGGGAAGUACGGCCGCAAGGCUGAAACUUAAAGGAAUUGGCGGGGAGCACAACAACGGGUGGAGCCUGCGGUUUAAUUGGACUCAACGCCGGACAACUCACCGGGGGCGGACAGCAAUAUGUAGGCCAAGCUGAAGACUUUGUCCUGAAUCGCUGAGAGGAGGUGCAUGGCCGUCGCCAGUUCGUACUGUGAAGCAUCCUGUUAAGUCAGGCAACGAGCGAGACCCGUGCCCACUGUUACCAGCAUGUCCUCCGGGACGAUGGGUACUCUGUGGGGACCGCCUAUGUUAAAUAGGAGGAAGGUGCGGGCCACGGUAGGUCAGUAUGCCCCGGAAUCUCCCGGGCUACACGCGGGCUACAAUGGAUGGGACAAUGGGU